UACAGAGGGUGCAAGCGUUGUUCGGAAUUAUUGGGCGUAAAGGGAAUGUAGGCGGCUAGGAAAGUCUUCUGUGAAAUCUACGGGCUCAGCCUGUAACGUGCAGAGGAAACUAUCUGGCUAGAGUGUCGGAGAGGAUAGGGGAAUACCCGGUGUAGAGGUGAAAUUCGUAGAGAUCGGGUGGAACACCAGUGGCGAAGGCGCCUGUCUGGCUGACAACUGACGCUGAGACUCGAAAGCAUGGGGAGCAAACAGG
rnacentral:rRNA from 1 species